AUGAACGCUGGCGGCGUGCCUAAUCCAUGCAAGUCGAGCGAACAGAUGAGGAGCUUGCUCCUCUGACGUUAGCGGCGGACGGGUGAGUAACACGUGGAUAACCUACCUAUAAGACUGGGAUAACUUCGGGAAACCGGAGCUAAUACCGGAUAAUAUAUUGAACCGCAUGGUUCAAUAGUGAAAGACGGUUUUGCUGUCACUUAUAGAUGGAUCCGCGCCGCAUUAGCUAGUUGGUAAGGUAACGGCUUACCAAGGCAACGAUGCGUAGCCGACCUGAGAGGGUGAUCGGCCACACGGGAACUGAGACACGGUCCAGACUCCUACGGGAGGCAGCAGUAGGGAAUCUUCCGCAAUGGGCGAAAGCCUGACGGAGCAACGCCGCGUGAGUGAUGAAGGUCUUCGGAUCGUAAAACUCUGUUAUUAGGGAAGAACAAAUGUGUAAGUAACUAUGCACGUCUUGACGGUACCUAAUCAGAAAGCCACGGCUAACUACGUG
rnacentral:rRNA from 1 species